rnacentral:rRNA from 1 species
CCGAACACGGUAGUUAAGCUUCUCUGCGCCAAUGGUAGUUGGGGGUUUCCCCCUGCGAGAGUAGGUCGCUGCCGGGC